rnacentral:rRNA from 1 species
UGGGGAAUUUUGGACAAUGGGCGAAAGCCUGAUCCAGCAAUGCCGCGUGUGUGAAGAAGGCCUUCGGGUUGUAAAGCACUUUUGUCCGGAAAGAAAUCCUUGGCUCUAAUACAGUCGGGGGAUGACGGUACCGGAAGAAUAAGCACCGGCUAACUACGUGCCAGCAGCCGCGGUAAUACGUAGGGUGCAAGCGUUAAUCGGAAUUACUGGGCGUAAAGCGUGCGCAGGCGGUUUGCUAAGACCGAUGUGAAAUCCCCGGGCUCAACCUGGGAACUGCAUUGGUGACUGGCAGGCUAGAGUAUGGCAGAGGGGGGUAGAAUUCCACGUGUAGCAGUGAAAUGCGUAGAGAUGUGGAGGAAUACCGAUGGCGAAGGCAGCCCCCUGGGCCAAUACUGACGCUCAUGCACGAAAAGCGUGGGGAGCAAAACAGGAUUAGAUACCCCUGGUAGUCCACGCCCUAAAACGAUGUCAACUAGUUGUUGGGGGAUUCAUUUUCCUUAGUAACGUAGCUAACGCGUGAAGUUGACCGCCUGGGGAGUACGGUCGCAAGAUUAAAACUCAAAUGAAUUGACGGGGUCAUAGCUGUUUCCU